CCCUUAGAUGUUCUGGGCCGCACGCGCGCUACAAUGAUGAAUUCAACGAGUUUAUAACCUUGGUUGAAAAGCCUGGGUAAUCUUUUGAACUUUCGUCGUGAUGGGGCUAGACCCUUGCAAUUAUUGGUCUCCAACAAGGAAUUCCUAGUAAACGCAAGUCAUCAGCUUGCAUUGAUUACGUCCCUGCCCUUUGUACACACCGCCCGUCGCACCUACCGAUUGAAUGGUCCGGUGAAAUCUUCGGAUUGAGACUUUGAUUUCUUCACGGAAAACGCUGUUUUAAGAAGUUGAUUAAACCUUACCAUUUAGAGGAAGGUGAAGUCGUAACA
rnacentral:rRNA from 1 species